rnacentral:misc_RNA from 1 species
AAGUCGUAACAAGGUUUCCGUAGGUGAACCCGCUGGCAGGAAUCGGAUUAACGAAUUUAAAGGCAAUUUCAGGCCGGCCAAUUCGGCGGCCAAGUUUCCUUCCAACCCCCUUUUUGUAAUACCGAAACCAUGUUGCUUUGGCAGGCCCCUGCAUUUCUCGGGCCUGCCAGAGGUUAUAAACCCUAGAAUCUCUGCUGUCUGAGUACUAUACAAUAGUUAAAA